rnacentral:rRNA from 1 species
GGCGAACCGUGCGAACGUUGUUCGGAAUCACUGGGCUUAAAGGGCGCGUAGGCGGGCGGCCGCGUCCGGGGUGAAAUCCCACGGCUCAACCGUGGAACGGCCUCGGAUACGGGCGGCCUCGAGGGGGGUAGGGGCAUCUGGAACUGUGAGUGGAGCGGUGAAAUGCGUUGAUAUUCACAGGAACUCCGGUGGCGAAGGCGAGGUGCUGGACCCCAUCUGACGCUGAGGCGCGAAAGCCAGGGGAGCGAACGGG